rnacentral:rRNA from 1 species
GACGAACGCUGGCGGCAUGCCUAAUACAUGCAAGUCGAGCGAACGGAUGAAGUGCUUGCACUUCUGACGUUAGCGGCGAACGGGUGAGUAACACGUAAGGAAUCUACCUAUAAGCGGGGGAUAACAUUCGGAAACGGGUGCUAAUACCGCAUAAUAUCUUCUUCCGCAUGGAAGAAGAUUGAAAGACGGCUCUGCUGUCACUUAUAGAUGACCUUGCGGUGCAUUAGUUAGUUGGUGGGGUAAUGGCCUACCAAGACGAUGAUGCAUAGCCGACCUGAGAGGGUGAUCGGCCACAUUGGGACUGAGGCACGGCCCAAACUCCCACGGGAGGCAGCAGUAGGGAAGCUUCCGCAAUGGGCGAAAGCCUGACGGAGCAAUGCCGCGUGAGUGAAGAAGGCCUUCGGGUCGUAAAACUCUGUUAUAAGAGAAGAACAAAUUGUAGAGUAGCUGCUACAGUCUUGACGGUAUCUUAUCAGAAAGCCACGGCUAACUACGUGCCAGCCGCCGCUGUAA